UACACUCCUACGGGAGGCAGCAGUGGGGAAUUUUGGACAAUGGGCGAAAGCCUGAUCCAGCAAUGCCGCGUGAGUGAAGAAGGCCUUCGGGUUGUAAAGCUCUUUUGUCAGGGAAGAAACGGUGAAAGCUAAUAUCUUUUGCUAAUGACGGUACCUGAAGAAUAAGCACCGGCUAACUACGUGCCAGCAGCCGCGGUAAUACGUAGGGUGCAAGCGUUAAUCGGAAUUACUGGGCGUAAAGCGUGCGCAGGCGGUUUUGUAAGUCUGAUGUGAAAUCCCCGGGCUCAACCUGGGAAUUGCAUGGGAGACUGCAAGGCUAGAAUCUGGCAGAGGGGGGUAGAAUUCCACGUGUAGCAGUGAAAUGCGUAGAUAUGUGGAGGAACACCGAUGGCGAAGGCAGCCCCCUGGGUCAAGAUUGACGCUCAUGCACGAAAGCGUGGGGAGCAAACAGGAUUAGAUACCCCUGUAGUCCCA
rnacentral:rRNA from 1 species